rnacentral:rRNA from 1 species
AUUAGAUGAGCCUAUAUUAGAUUAGCUAGUUGGUGGAGUAAUAGCCUACCAAGGCAAUGACCUAUAGCUGAUCUGAGAGGAUGAUCAGCCACACUGGAACUGAGAUACGGUCCAGACUCCUACGGGAGGCAGCAGUGGGGAAUAUUGGACAAUGGGCGAAAGCCCGAUCCAGCCAUGCCGCAUGAGUGAAGAAGGCCUUUGGGUUGUAAAGCUCUUUUAGUGAGGAAGAUAAUGACGGUACUCACAGAAGAAGUCCUGGCUAACUCCGUGCCAGCAGCCGCGGUAAUACGGAGAGGGCUAGCGUUAUUCGGAAUUAUUGGGCGUAAAGGGCGCGUAGGCUGAUUAAUAAGUUAAAAGUGAAAUCCCGAGGCUUAACCUUGGAAUUGCUUUUAAAACUAUUAAUCUAGAGAUUGAAAGAGGAUAGAGGAAUUCCUGAUGUAGAGGUAAAAUUCGUAAAUAUUAGGAGGAACACCAGUGGCGAAGGCGUCUAUCUGGUUCAAAUCUGACGCUGAAGCGCGAAGGCGUGGGGAGCAAACAGGAUUAGAUACCCUGGUAGUCCACGCUGUAAACGAUGAAUGUUAAAUAUGGGAAG